GAACAACGAGUAUUCGACGAAGAUGAAGGGCGUACUUGUCGUGGUCGCAGUAGCGACGUUGAUACUCUUUGGGAUGUUUAUUCAAGAUAGCCAAGCGUUCGUAAAUGGACCUCUUUUACCAGCAACGGGCAAGAGAUCGAUAAGAAGAAAUAAUCCAUCGGCUUACAAACACAAGAAAACUGAAGAACUUGAUCCUCAAGAUGUUUGUGAAUUAGCAAGAAUAUUUGGAUGCAAUAAUAAGUGAUAUCAUUCCACAUAAGAUGUAUUGUACAAAUGGUGUUAUGGACAUGGUAUAGUCCUUGUACAAGCUCUGUUAUAGAUUUUACAUGUCUUUAGAGAAUUAUUGAAUAAAUCUAUUUGUGCUUACGAA